rnacentral:lncRNA from 1 species
UCAUCACCCUCACUUUCCUUAUCAGACUUAUCAUUUUCAUCACUACUGGCCGGACAUGGAGGAAGAAUAUUUCCUGAUUCAAAAAGAAAAGUUAGUUGGGCCUGAAGCGCUGCAUACCUCUUGUUCUCUACCUCCUUUGCUGCCGCAAUCUCCUCCUCUCUCUUUCUUCUCUCUUCUUCUCUCUUUCGACUACAACAGCAAGCUCGGCAUUGAGAUAAGCUAUCUUACUCUCCAUUGCAGAUAUUGUCUCUCUAUCCCCGCCAUCAAAGCUUGAGGAUGAUGAACCAAAAUACCAAGACUUCUUCUUCUGAUACGCCUUUUCUGGAUAGCCAUAGACUGAACCUCUAAUCGGUUCACCAGCACUCUGUUUCCAAAGAUUCUCGUUUUCUUCUUGUGUAAAUGGUCUGUCCUGACUCUCAAGAGGUAGAGUACUAC